rnacentral:rRNA from 1 species
GAUGAACGCUGGCGGCGUGCCUAAUACAUGCAAGUCGAGCGAAGCGGGGACGGGUGAGUAACACGUGGAUAACCUCUUAUAAGACGGGGAUAACUUUGGGAACCCGGACCUAUACCGGUUACUUCUAGAUGGAUCUGGGCUGCAUUAGCUAGUUGGUAAGGUAACGGCUUACCAAGGCAACGUUGCAUAGCCGACCUGAGAGGGUGACCAGCCACACUGGAACUGAGACACGGUCCAGACUCCUACGGGAGGCAGCAGGAGGGAAUCUUCCGCAAUGGGCGAAAGCCUGACGGAGCAACGCCGCGUGAGUGAUGAAGGGCUUCGGAUCGUAAAGCUCUGUUAGCAGGGAAGCGGUACCUAAUCAGAAAGCCACGGCUAACUACGUGCCAGCAGCCGCGGUAAUUC